rnacentral:rRNA from 1 species
UACGGGGGGGGUAAGCGUUGUUCGGAAUUACUGGGCGUAAAGGGCUCGUAGGCGGCCAACUAAGUCAGACGUGAAAUCCCUCAGCUUAACUGGGGAACUGCGUCUGAUACUGGAUGGCUUGGAUUCGGGAGAGGAAUGCGGAAUUCCAGGUGUAGCGGUGAAAUGCGUAGAUAUCUGGAGGAAUACCGGUGGCGAAGGCGGCAUCCUGGACCGGCAUUGACGCUGAAGCGCGAAAGCUAGGGGAGCAAACGGG